UUGGGGUUUAAAGACAGCUAUAAAUAGAAAGGCUGUGAGGUUCCUUUAGUAAAAGGCAGAAAAUUACCACAUAAUGCUCUUCUAACUUGGGACCUAAUUGCUUUGAUUUUUGGCCUUUUGCGUGAUGUUUACUUUAUGUAAUCAUCGCAUAUUUAGAAGUUAACGUUUGGUCCAUUUUGCCAGAUAAGUCCUUGACACAGUGGCUAUUACAUCAGGACUUGGGACACCAUCUGGUGGCCACUCACGUGCAUUACAGAGAAGAGAUCCUCACCCGCUCUCCAACCACCUCUACAUAAUACCAUAGCUACCAUAGCGGAGACAAACAGAUAUUCCCCAUCUCCCUGACCAUAAAACACAUAGAUACGCAAAAUCUUCUCUUGACCUUAUUUCUCUUUUCUUUUACUGUUUAAUGCUUUUAACAUUAACCCACACCCCGCUGACCCCAUUUCUUCACCGCCACUUCUGCCUCUGUUGACCAAGGACAUCCAGGCGGUCAUACUCCAGGAAGCAGUAGACUCUGACGUCGCUCUCCCUCCACAUCAGCUUUCUUCCAACACGCCCAGCCAUUGGCUUCCAACCCCUCUGCCCUCCUGACCCUGCUCUCCUGAAGCUUGGCAACAUUUUCCCCGUCCCCAUACCCAACGGCCCAACCUCAUCCUCACGCUGCUUGAACUUUUGUUUUGGAGUGCUUGGUACUGUUGACAACCUUCUCCUUGAAGCUCCUUCGUCUCCUCUUGUCUCUAGGAUGAGGAGCAGUCUCUAACAUCUAUAUUCGUGUGCCUUAGUCUCAUUUUAGGAUUGUGCUACAGUUAGAAUCAGAAGCUGCUUCGUAUGAGCUACGUGGACUCCACGCGACUGUUGCUCUAUGUGUCCCGUUGCUUUAAUGGGGGAUAUUUAGGAGGAUACCUGUGCCUCUUGGCACACUCUGACCCAGAGAGAGUGAUUUUCAGAGUUGUUUGGCUGGUGCUGAAUACCCAAGUUGCAAAUAGAUGGGGAUCCUGCACAGAACAGCAGACUGUGAAGAUCCAGGACACAGGAAAAUCACUACAUCUGCCAUCAAGCAAGCACUGGUAUUAAUGACACACGGAUAGACAGGUCCAUGCUGAGGGUGAUGUGGGUACUUGAGCCUGGGGGAGGCAGGGAGCAACCACAUCUGACUCAGUUUCCUCCUACAAGGGGAACACCAAGAUUCCACGGAAUCAACAGGGUGGAAGCAGAGCCCGGCCCCAACGGCAUUGCAAUCUCCAAAUGAGACUAGAUCAGGUUUGGUUCUCCAGCAACUAUGAUUAAUAUCAACUCAUGGUGGACAGUUUGACCUACCUCAUACCCUGAAGCAAACACCAGGCACACCACUCCCCACAGCAGGGUUUCUCUUACACUUCCCUCCUCACUGGGGGUCCCAUGUAUAGCGCCUUCCUGCUCCCCAUCCCCAGGGUCCUGGACUCCAGAGAGGCUGGAGGAAUUGGGGACUCAUGGCUGUGGGCCUCAGCAGGGCCUGGGCAGGAAGGUGAAGCACGGAUUUCAGGUGAAUAAACAAAGGAGAAGACAUAACAAGGGAGGCUCGGAAUCUCUGGCCACCGGGAGUCCAGGAGCAGAGAGGGGGAAGGUGCAGUGACCCCACGGAAACGCCUGUGGGAUGAGGUCUCCAGCUUUGCAGAGCCACCGGGCUUGUGGGGGCGAACUGAGAUGAGACCUUUCAUAACACCCUUUCACCACCCUGGUGAGAGUCACCCUAACAGGACCAAUCCAGGCCUUAUGGGCUACUCUUACAA
rnacentral:lncRNA from 1 species